GACGAACGCUGGCGGCGUGCUUAACACAUGCAAGUCGAACGGAAAGGCCCUGCUUUUGUGGGGUGCUCGAGUGGCGAACGGGUGAGUAACACGUGAGUAACCUGCCCUUGACUUUGGGAUAACUUCAGGAAACUGGGGCUAAUACCGGAUAGGAGCUCCUGCUGCAUGGGGGGGGUUGGAAAGUUUCGGCGGUUGGGGAUGGACUCGCGGCUUAUCAGCUUGUUGGGGGGGUAGUGGCUUACCAAGGCUUUGACGGGUAGCCGGCCUGAGAGGGUGACCGGCCUCAUUGGGACUGAGAUACGGCCCAGACGCCUACGGGAGGCAGCAGGGGGGAAUAUUGCACAAUGGGCGGAAGCCUGAGGCAGCAACGCCGCGUGCGGGAUGACGGCCUUCGGGUUGUAAACCGCUGUCGCCUGUGACGAAGCGGGAGUGACGGUAAUGGGUAAAGAAGCACCGGCUAACUACGUG
rnacentral:rRNA from 1 species